rnacentral:rRNA from 1 species
UCGGGAAUAUUGCGCAAUGGAGGGAACUCUGACGCAGUGACGCCGCGUAUAGGAAGAAGGUUUUCGGAUUGUAAACUAUUGUCCACAGGGAAGAAAAAAGACUGUACCUGUGAAGAAAGCUCCGGCUAACUACGUGCC